UACGAGGGGGGCGAGCGUUGUUCGGAAUUAUUGGGCGUAAAGGGUGCGUAGGCGGCCUGACAAGUCUGAUGUGAAAUCCCUGGGCUCAACCCAGGGCCUGCAUCGGAAACUGUCGGGCUUGAGUAUGGGAGAGGUGAGUGGAAUUUCCGGUGUAGCGGUGAAAUGCGUAGAUAUCGGAAGGAACACCUGUGGCGAAGGCGGCUCACUGGACCAUUACUGACGCUGAGGCACGAAAGCUAGGGGAGCAAACAGG
rnacentral:rRNA from 1 species